rnacentral:rRNA from 1 species
CAGCCUGAUGCGCCAUGCCGCGUGUGUGAAGAAGGCCUUCGGGUUGUAAAGCACUUUCAGUCAGGAGGAAAGGUUAGUAGUUAAUACCUGCUAGCUGUGACGUUACUGACAGAAGAAGCACCGGCUAACUCCGUGCCAGCAGCCGCGGUAAUACGGAGGGUGCGAGCGUUAAUCGGAAUUACUGGGCGUAAAGCGUACGCAGGCGGUUUGUUAAGCGAGAUGUGAAAGCCCCGGGCUCAACCUGGGAACUGCAUUUCGAACUGGCAAACUAGAGUGUGAUAGAGGGUGGUAGAAUUUCAGGUGUAGCGGUGAAAUGCGUAGAGAUCUGAAGGAAUACCGAUGGCGAAGGCAGCCACCUGGGUCAACACUGACGCUCAUGUACGAAAGCGUGGGGAGCAAACAGGAUUAGAUACCCUGGUAGUCCACGCCGUAAACGAUGUCUACUAGAAGCUCGGAACCUCGGUUCUGUUUUUCAAAGCUAACGCAUUAAGUAGACCGCCUGGGGAGUACGGCCGCAAGGUUAAAACUCAAAUGAAUUGACGGGGGCCCGCACAAGCGGUGGAGCAUGUGGUUUAAUUCGAUGCAACGCGAAGAACCUUACCUACACUUGACAUACAGGAGAACUUACCAAGAGAUGGUUUGGUGGCCUUCGGAACUCUGGAUACAGGGUGGCUGCAAUGGCCUGUCCGUCAGCCUCGUGGUUGUGAAGAUGUUUGGGGUUAAGUUCCCUGCAACGGAGUCGCAAUCCCCUUAUCUUUUAGUUUGCUUAUACAUGGUAAUUGCUUGAGAACCUCUUAA